ACUGCCAAGUCAGUAAGACUAAGUACUUCAAACUGUUAGUUUUCAUACAUCACUGGACUCGAAUAAGCCUUUAAACGUUAAUACUUAAGUUAAAUGCUAGCCGUGGGGACAGAAUUGGUGGUUUCUAAUAUCAUGAAAAUGCGCGUGCUUGCUUUCUAUCCACACACAUGCAUAGAUAUGUACACAUAAUUUCUAGUGUGUAGCAUGUACAGUAUGAUUAAGGGAUAAGCAUGUUUUCCUGAUCAUCCUAUUUCCAACCAAACACGCAUUUUACAGCAGUCAUCUUGUCACCAUUUGAAAGAAUGUGGUCAGAAAAGUAGUACCCAAACUGCCACUUUGGUUUUGUCUGUACCUUCCUUACAGGUUCAUACCUCACUUCCUGACACAAACAAGUUUUUACUGUUGUCAGCAACAAAGCCCUAAUAUAGCUGCGGAAGAGAAAAAACUGCGUUGCAUUCUGCCUCUUGAGAGCAUCAUCAACAGUUACCGGAGGAAUGUAACUCCAGAAAGCUCCGAAACUGGUGGUGAUGAGAAUUAUGGAACAGAUGCCCGAUUCCAUUUGUUGUUAUUGUUUGGGCAUUUCUAUUCUAUUCUACCAGCGACCUGCGAGUGAGCUCACUGAGGGGGGCAAAUCUGGUUUUUCUUUUUGACUUGGUAAAAUUUAAUCAGGCCUGAGAGGAAACUCACAGCUCUCUGGAGAAAAUAAAGUAGGAACCACGAAAUGUCAUUUUAACAGAGCGUGGGUUUGGUGACUGCAGGAAAGGAUUUAAGGACGCUCCUGUUCCGUUUGCUGUGUAGUGAGCACCGGCUCCACGCACGCACCGACGCCACAGCUCCCGGAUGCAGUGGCUCCCUUAUCUGGGCUUCUGUAGCGCCACAAGCCCCUUCGGGAUGCUGCGAGGGGCUCCCGGUGGGUGGUGGUACAAACGCUGCGGCCGCCGCCGCCGCCGCCGCCGGUCCUGCUGCUGUUGUUGCUGCUGCAGUCACGUGGGAGCCCCUUUAAGUUUCCAUAGAGAGGCCUCUCCGGUGUCACAUGAUGGACAUGAUAUAAUGAAACAACAUUGUGGAGAGGAAAGCAUUAGGGGAGCCCACGGCUACAAAAACAAGUGAGUGAGAAGAGGUGGGAGAAAAAGAAACUACGCCACCUCCCCUGCAGCCGAGCGCACGCAGCAGCCUGGCGUGACAAGUGGGCGACGCCGGGGGCAGGGAGUGGGGGUCCUCGGCCCGCUCCGGGGACCCUGUUGCCCACCGUGCGCAGAGCAACUUUUAACCGGCAGCCCCGCACCUGUCUCCGAGCCUCCACCGCUCCCCGCGACCAUCCUGGGAAAAUUCUAGAAGACUACGCUCUCGGAAUCUACGUGCGCAUCAUUUUCCUCCUCGCUCCGGGAGGAAGGAACCAGAAAGCGAGCAGAGCGGCGUCACGUUCAGACCAUCGAACCUCCGUGCAUCCCAGGGAUGGUGUCCUCUACUGGAGGGUUUCUGCCUCGCUUAACUUUCAGGACCCUUUUAACUGAGUUCUGUUGCUUCCAAGGGUAGAAGACGGGCUAGCAAGAGUCCGCAGUGUCUGCCUCCUCAUCUGCCCUUGCUGAAUACUGGUUUACAGGAGAAUUUGAGCACAGCUCAGAGCCACUGGUUGCGCAAAUGUCUGACUCCAGUAGCUCAGGAAGAUGAACUGUUAAGCAGGAUGGGAAGUCGGCCUGCAAGCUGAAGUGAGAGCUCACCUACAGUUCUCCUUUCAGCCAGGUUUCCCAGGCAACCACGGAAGCAAUACUUAAAGAUGAGCAGUUAAAAGGGGGAAAAACUGCAGCAACCUAAUGGCCCUUCUAAUGGAACACAUUAAACCACCAAACACCAUCCCUGUCUCAGGGUCAGGGACCAGUCUGGUAGACUUUCCUCUAGAUGGUCUUCAUGAUGUGUCUUCCUUCCCUCUGAUGUGGCGUGGUAAGUUACCUGCCUUAUCCUAAAUACAGUGCCACUUGGUGUUUGCUGUGGUUCCCUGCUUGGGUUUUGGGGUGUAAUACUACCUGUGUGGUUGCUCUUUGGGGAGGUGCUAGCAUGGCCAUCACCAGCACACCAGGUGUACUGAGUAUGUCAGCGACACUCAGACCCACAGGAGGAAAUACCGGUUAGCACUGCAUGCAUUUAUACCUGUCACAAUUUCCUAAUUGUUUUUUGUUGUUUGGAGACCAGGUCUCUCUACAUAGCCCUGACUAUUCUGGAACGCAACUGUGUAGAACAGGCUGGCCUCAAACUCACAAGAGAUCUGCCUGCCUCUGUCUCCCCAGUGCUGGGAUUAAAGGCGUGUGCCACCACACCUGGCCCACUAGUCUGUUUUAUGUUAACACUUGCUAUUUCUUUUCAUGUGGAUCAUGACUUCCAGGGUAUUGACCUCUCGUAGACCUGAGGCUUUUGUCCUGUGACAGCGGCCCGUGGGUCUUUGCCCUUGAGUUCUGUUCCGUGCACUGCUGUUUCUUUGUCUCUAAAACGCUGCAGACUUGCCUUAAUUUAAUUUUAAAUUAUUUAUGUAAUGUGUACAAGUGUUUGCCUGAGUGUGUGUGUGUGUGUGUGUGUGUGUGUGUGUGUGUGUGUGUGUACACUGUGCAUGUGCCUUCCCCUCAGAGGCCAAAGAGCAUCAGAUGCUGUGAAACUAGAGUUGACAAAUGAGUCUAAGCAGCCAUGGGGAUGCUGAGAUCCGAACCUGGGUCUUCAGCUACUUAAGUCUUUGCAGCAGACUCUCCCCUUGUUGUAACUGACCGCUCUUGCUUUCUGUUGGCCAUCCCCUGCUCAGCUGUCUGUCUGAGCUUUGACAUUACUUUCCUUACAAAGAGCCAUCUUGCCAUUUUGAAAGACACAUCCUUUUGUGCCGUUAGAUCUCACUAUUAAGCAGGACGUAGAAGGUAAGCUAGUCAGUAAAGUGCUUCUCAUCACUAAGGACCUGAAUUUGCAUCCAGCCCCAUGGAGAAGGCCAGGCAUGUCAGCAUGUAUCUGUAAUCAGUCACCAGCUCUGUGGGGCAGAGACAGGAGAAUCCCUGGAGCUCACUGGCCAGCUAGUCUUGCCAAAUCGGUUGAGCAAAGUUCAGUAAGAGAUUCUGUCUCCUAGAUGGAUGGAUGGAAGGAUGGAUAGGUGGAUAAUAAAGGCCACGGGUAGUAGAAAGACACCUGAUAAACAAACAAAUAAAUAAAUGGCCAUGAAUAAAGGCCAUGGGUAGUAGAAAGACACCGAUAAAUAAAUACAUAAAAGGCCAUGGAUGAUAGAAAGACACCUGACAGUGACCUCUGAUCUCUACCUCCAUGUACACAUGCACAUGAAUGCGUUUGCCCCCACACAAAGAUCUUGCUAUGAAAUAAUUUUAAGAAAAUACUACUUCUGCAUUAAUUGUCAUAAUUUUUAUAUUGAAAUGUACAGUUUCUCAGAAACAUAACCGUUGCGGUGCUCUGAUCUCAAAACCACCUCCCUACCCCAGUAAGUGGUAAGGUCCACGGUGGUAGAGUUAGAAUAAUGGUGGCUCUUCCUUAACUGGUCCUUUUCUUGGUUAGUGUCAAGUGCUCCAGAGAGACACCUGCUGGCCAAAAUGUAGUAUUGCGUUGCUGUUCUCUUCUGGAAAUUAUCAUAGGACCUUAAGCUUUCAUAGCAUGUGGAUAUGUUUUAUAGUAGAAUGUACUGAAGCUUCCUGCCUCAGCCCCUCAAACAUACUUGCCAUUUACAGAUGACAUCUGAUGAACUAAGUAUUCCGACCUGAGAAUUUGGUUCAAGGAGUAGAGAUGUAAUGGAGAAGAGGAUUUCAUGAUAAAACCCCAGUCCUGUCCUUCCUCAUGUUCAGGGGCUACAAAACAAUCAUGUAGAAGUUAUUUCUCAGACCUGGGUCAUUUCAAAGAUUUUGAAAGGGGCACCUCACUUCUCCAAGAGAAGUUAGAGCUUGCUUUUUCGAUGGCUUAGUUUUAUUACAUUAGAGGUGCAUUUGUUCCUAUUUACAAACUUGGCAAUGGAAAAAUAAAGCCAGAGAUGGGAGAGCUGGCUCAGUGAUUAAGAGCACGUGUUGCUUAGGAGGACCCAGGUUUGCUUCCCAGCACCCCCAGGGCUGCUCACAGACACCCUAAGUUCAGUUCCAGGGAUUUGAUGCCCUCUUCUGACCUCCUUAGGCAUGGAGUGUGCACGUGAUGCACAUCUAUACAUGCAGGCAGAAUACUCAUACAUAGAAAAAGUUUAAAAAUCAAAACACAUUUUUAGAAAAAGAAAUCCAGGGUACUGACAUUUUGCUUCAAAGCCCCAGUUGGAACAUCAUGGUAGCUUCGGUGCAGUGCUUACUUGGGGAAGUUCUCACUGAGUGCAGAGGCAGGAUUGCUUCAAAAAACAAAACAAAACACCUAAUUAUGCACUUCUAAGGCUGUACUAUGUCCGGAACAGAUUUUAAGGACUAGCAUGUACAAAACUGUUCUUUUAAAUUAAUGCAGUAGUCGUCCAUCUGUCUUGGACUGGACUGUUUCUCUUGUUGCUUAGAAAUAAGAUUCUCACCGUUUGCUAACCUGUCCUUGUUUCACACAGUUUUCUGCUCAUAAGUAAAGGGAAAUUGGUAGGAAACACCAGUGCACGCGUGUGUGUGUGUGUGUGUGUGUGUGUGUGUGUGUGUGUGUGUGUGUGUGUGUGUAUAUUAGUGCCUGGAGCCAGCCGCUAGGGGCUCAGUGCGGGACUACCUGCUGGCAUCCUCAGGCCGUCUCUGUCCCUCCUCUUCUCAGUAGGUAAGCUCGGUGUCACAGGACGGAAUUGCAGCGACGUCCGAGAACCACAGAGCUGGGUAGAUAGAGCUGUCGGCUUAAGGGAUCAAAUCAAACAGUAGCUGGGCACAUAAAAGGAUGCAUUUGGGUUUUGUAACCUCAAACGUGGAGAGCGUGUAUUUUAAAAUGUGUCUUACACGUUUUCCACCUUCCUAGCUGUUGUCCUAGGAAACUGUUCUUUUGUCAGGGCUCCUGGGGAUCUGAAAAUUGACAGAAAGAAGCCUGUGUCAGGCAGCCAAGCUUAAGUGAGACUAACUAGAAGGGUGUUAAACAAGAAGAGGUGAAGCAGUAUGUUCCAGACAGCUGGUUUUGAACCUGGGACUGAAGUCCUCCACGUCUCUGUUGAGGUAGUGUGCACAGUAAUUGCAUUCAACGAAUAGCCACUGUAACUGCCAGGCCCAAGAUACGAUAAUGCUGCCAAAAGCUGGAGCAGGAAGUUGUCACGUUCGUGUCUCCUGUAGAUGUUUUUGGAUUUAUAUGGCAAAGAAAAUAAUGUUAGGCUAGGGAGAUGGCUCAGUCACUGGUGUGCCUGCUGUGCAGAUGUGAGGGGCUGAGUUCACAUCUCUGCACACCCACGUGAGUCCUGCAUGCUAAGCAUCAGCUGAAAGCAUAAGGCUAGGGUCUACUGCCGUCCAGUUUAAUGCUCACACGAUCAGAAAGCCCAGCCUGAAAUGCUUUCCUACCCUCACAGAGAAUCCUGUGGCACCCAGAGCCUCCUUGGAAUCUCAGGCUAACUGGGUCCAAAUAAUAAUGGAGUGCUGUUUGCAGUUUUAAGGAGCUUCUCAUUUUACAUGGGAAUGAGCCGUGAUGACAAGGAAAUCAGAGGGUGUAAUAGAAUAAAUGCAGCGACCCAAGCGCUCUGCAGUUGGGAGUACUUUAAUAAUUUUGGUGUUACAAGUUCUCAAGUGCGUUCUUGAAAACUGUACUGCACGUUCAAUCAUCAGAUAGAGUAAUAUAAUUAGGAGUACCUCCUCCAGUUGAAGUGCUUGUAUGCAGCAAGGUGUGUCUGUAUCAGCGCUUCAGGUGUGGCCGUAUCGGGGAUUAGGAAGAUAGGAGAUGGACACAUGCGCACUGAGUCAUUGUGUGUGCGUACAUGUGUAGUGUACAUGUUGUUGCAGCCACUUUUUACAUCGACGGAUGCUGUGUGAGGGCUGCAGUUUCUCAUCUCUCUGCUGUCACGUUUUGUUUGUUUUUUAUAGUAACCAUCCUGAAAGGUUGGGAAGCAAUAGCCUACUGUGGUUUGUUUUGAGACGGGGUCUUGCUGUGUAAACCAGGCUGGCCUGGACCUCACAGGGCUCAGCUUGCUCGCCUCCGAGUGCUGGGAUUGAAGGUGUGCUCUACCUCACGCAGCUCCCACUGUGGUUUUGAUUGGCAUUUUAUUGCAAACCAGUAAUGUUGGAAAUCUUUACAUGGGCGUCACGGUCAUAUUUGUAUGUCAUCUUCGGAGAAAUGCCCACUUUAGAGAUGAGGUGGUUUUGCCUCUGGGCCACAGGUAUCCCUUACGCAUGCUCAGUAUGCCUGUCAGGUACAUGACUGACAGCUGGCUUACCCUACAGCCUGUGAGGAGAGACAGGUCUUCUGUGCGCUGCUGAGCUUCUUCACUUGCUCUGGUCCCAGUUGUCUGCUUCUGCUCUUACUGCUUGUACUUUUGUCAUAGUCAAGAAAUCCCUGCCUAGAUGCAAUGACGUAACGCUUCCCCUGUUUUCUCCAAAUAAUUUCUUGCAUUCGGGGUUUAAAUUUAAGUCUUUAGCCCAUUUGUGUCUGGUUUUAAAUUUAAAAAUUACAUUAUAUGUAUUUACUGUGUAUGAGCAUGCACUCCAGGUACACAUGCGCAGUACAUGUGCAGAGGUCAGGAGACAGCUCACAGGGAUAGGUACUCUGGUCCUGGGAAUGGAGCUCAGAUUGUUAGGCUUGGCAGCAGCAGGCGCCUUUCCCCAUUAAGCCACCUCACCAACCCAUGGGGCACAUUAUUUUGUAGGGUGUAAGAGAACCUGUUUUAUUGUUUUUCAUCUUCUCAGCACUGUUUAUCGAGAAGCCUGUUCUUCCAUAUGUCUGGGCGUCCUCGUCAAGAUCGAUUGACUAUACGUAUAGGUUUAUUUUCCCACUGGUUUUGUCUGUUUUAAUGACAUUGCCAUACUGCUUUAAUCACGAUAGCUUUAUAGUGUAUUUGGAAGUCAGUAGCAUUGUCCCUUCCUUGCUCCUCUUUCUCAAGAAUGUUUGGACAGUUUCGGAGUCUUCAUUGUCCCUUAAGAAUUCGAGGAUACGCUUUGCUAAAAAUUUACCAUCAGGAUGUAUUUUACGGUUUUAAAACAUUACUUACUUUGUGAGUGUCCACUCAUAUCCUAGUUCACUGGUUUCUCCACCUUGCCAGCUUGAGGGCAGGAAGGACAGAGGCCCACCCUCAUCCUGCGACAAUGAAGGCUUUGUGAGUUGCUUUCAAACCCAGAGCAACUUCCUCCUUUAACAAUAGCUCCUCCCUUAAGUGUUCCCUGUCCUCCCAGCUCUGUGCACUCUUCCUCGGCUCCAGAACAACUGCCCUCCUUUCUGGACUCCGGGAGGCCUCAGCCAGAUUCUUAAUAUAAGCAAAUGCUGCUGGCUACAAAGUUGGUAGCCAUGCUGUUUUUUCUGGCAUAAAUGCAGGGGGUUUUGUGAUGGCAGUUUUUGUUUUUGUUGUGUUUUGAGACAGGGUGUUAUGGGGACCUCAGGCUAGCCUCAAAUUGACUGUGUAGCCAAGGGUGACUAUGAACCUUUGAUCCUCCUGUCCCCACAUCCCAAGAAGGGGGUCACAGGCUUGUGGCACCAUGCCUGGUUUUAUGUACUGGGGAUGGAACCUUGGCAAGUGUUCUACCAGCUGAGUUGUGUCCCCAGCCCCUGGUUGCAGUUUUAAAUAUGCUAAUAAAUUAUGUUUGCAAAGGAAACUGUUUUGUAUUUGAUUCUCCUGCCCCAUGAACCAUUCUGUGUCCAGUUAAAAAGAAGAAAAGCUUAAUUGCCAUAUUUGAGGUUCUCCCUUCUUCUGCAGGCUGUCUUGCAAAAGAAUGCUCCUGUCUCAGCUCAGGAAAUGGGCAGGGUAAGUGGACGGGAAGAGUGAGUAGCAGCAUCAGAAAAGUCCCCACAUGCUAUUACCCCUUGCAGCAAGUGCCGCACUGCUCAGGGCAGACAUCACUGUCUUCUCCCAAGGGUGUCUUUCUCAGAAGCAGAUUGACCAUAUUAGUACACUGUUGAAUCAUCCUUUUAUUUUUUGAAAACCACAGUGUGUGUCCCAGACUAUGUACUGGUUUCAAACACACUGAGUACUUCAUAGAAAUGAACAGCUCAGUCUGUUCAUUAAGAGAAAUAGCCUUAAAAUACCUAAAAAUCAUUUUAACGAUGGAUAGUAAAGUCAUCUUUCUUGAUUCUUCUGUGAAUUAACAGUCAUAUGUAAACAGUGUUAUUCAAGGAAGAUUUUAUUUUAACAGUGCUCUGUCUGAACUGUAUGUUAUAAAAGAAUAAUUACUUUAUUAGUUUUUACGUCACCUAGAGACUGUAUGGAAAGAUAAAAAGGAAGUGUGGUAUAACAGUCACUGCAGUUAAGCCCCAGAUUUUAUUCAAGUGUUUCAUUACAUUUAAAAAUACCCUAAACUAUUCUGAAAUUUAAUCCUCCAUGUCACAGUGUGUAAACCAUCCACAUAUAUUAAUUUUGAUAACUUUUAUUUUAAAAAUCCUCGGUGGUUUGUUUUUUCUUUGCCCAAAAGGUGCUUGCAUGAUAAAAGUCUGCAGUUGUAGUUAAGUGUCAGAUGAAGACCUGAGUAUUGCCUUCAUUUGCUAGCUGCAGACUACUUUAGCUCACGUGAUGAAGAAGGGCUGCAUUAUAGCUGUCUACCCAGCAUUUGUACUAGGUACUUUUCAUUGGGACCAAACACUUGGGAGAAGCAGUCUGAAGGGAGGAAGGGAUUACUUUGUCUCACAGUUUGAAAGGGACAGUCCAUCAAGAAGGCAUGCAGGUGUUGAUAGUGGAUGGCUCUGGGACUCCUCAAAUCUCCCAAGAGCUAGUGCACAAGCAAGGUGGAUCCCACCUUUUAAAGGUUCCACAGUUUUUCAGAACAGCUCUAUCAAGUAUUCAUUCAGCAUUCAACAUAUGAGCCUAUAGGGUGACCUUUCACAUCCAAAUUAUAACCUUUACAUGGCAGUUUGAGUGGUGUUUAACAUAGUUUGGCUGCAUAUCAGUUCUUGUUUUCCUGAAUCAUGACUAUAUACCUGCCACAGAGUGAUGGACCUACAGUUCCCUCAGAGCCUGUUUGAAGCUGGUGAGGCCCCUAGUCAGAGGAUGCAAACAAAGACCGCACCCUGGAGCUCCAGACAGUCAGCCCAGGAGGUCCAACACCAGAAGGUCAGUGGCUUGUGGAGAGGAGUCCUAGAUGAGGCAUUUAGAACGGAUGAAAGUUAGGGACCAGCACUACAACCGACUCCGCCUCUCUGUGGUUUAGAUGAGAAGCCUUUAUUGCAAAAAGGUAAGGAGUCCGCUCCUUACAGCACAGAGAAAAGGUGGACGUUCUGUUGCUCUUCUGGGAAGCAUGGUGUGCAUGCCCUGGGGCAUCAAGCAUGGAGAAAUGAGGCUGGACCUGAGGUAGUUCAUGUUUCCUUUCUCCCCACGUCAUAACAAUUGUGGUACUGAUAUCAGCUCUGCAACUAAAAGCAUGGCUCGAGAUGCUAGACUCCGUGUCUCACACUAGUUACAUGCUAAAAGCGUGGCUCGAGAUGCUAAACCCCAUGUCUCAUACUACCUACAUACCAAAAGCUUGGCUCAAGAUGCUCAAACUCCAGUCUCACACUAAUGACAUGGCAGGCAGCCGACUUAGCUUUUCAUGUGUUCAUCUGUAAAACAAAUCAUGUUAGUGUCUACUUUAUGGGACUACUGAGAGGAUCAAGGGAGUUAAUGGUGUGUACAAUGUAUAAAACAUGCGUUGGCACAUGAUAAGCACUCAGUGUGUGAUAGCUGCUAUUACUGUAAUUUAAUCCUACUUAAUAAUUAACAACCCUAUGAAAUGGAUUUGAAGUAGGUUUUUAUUGUUGGGUUUUUUGUUUUAUUUUGAUUUUUUUUUUUAACUUUCAUCUGGUCGUAACCCCUCAGGGAGAACAGAUUACAGGGUGAUGGAUUGAAGAAUGACUUACAAGAUACCUUUAGGAUUGGUGUUUAGCAUAGUGUAAACACAUCUUGGUUUAUGGAUUAGUUACCAAGAUAAGAAGGAUGGCAUAGUUCCAAUUCAAAUUAAAUCUACAUGUGAUCCACCCACUUGGUUUCAAGCAUAAUUUCUAACCUUUCCUAGUAGAUCAUUUUCUUUCCAAGAAAGGAUUGGGUUUUACAGCAUGGAAAGUACAUGCCACACACAUGUAGUUAUAUACGUGUGAUGAGCUCAUGCCACACAUAUGUAGUCACAUGCGUGUGAUGAGCUCUUGUCCUUUUAUUCUGCUCUGUUUCGUUUUUCUUAAAGUGCUGCAUGCAUGGUUUGAAAACUCUACAGAUACAGACCAGCUUCACAGGAACCCAAAGGAGCGGGGAUUUUAGUAAAAUACAGCUGCCUUCAUUCUCCUGAGCUCCCCUGCUGGCAGAACUGGAAAGCUGCUGCUCAACACUCACACACUUUUAUUUUUUAUUUUAAUUAUAUAAAACAACUUUUAAAACUAAAUGUCUUUUAUCAUAUUCUUCCAUUCCCCCAAGUCCUUCCAGCUCCUCUCCCCCCAACUCACCCAACUUUAAAGUCUUUCUCAAAAAAACAAACAAAAAUACAGUAAUUCCCCCCCUCCAAAAAAGCCACCUAAAAGGAGAAAGAGGCAAGGGGAAAAAAAAAAGCAAAAACAAAACACCAAAUUGUAACCAAUGAAAACACAAAACUGUAGAGUCCAUUAUAUAUUGGUCAACUAAUGACACACUUUUAAAUGUUACACUUUUUGGCUUUUCGAGACAGGGUUUCUCUGUGUAGCUUUGCGCCUUUCCUGGAUCUCGCUCUGUAGACCAGGCUGGCCUCGAACUCACAGAGAUCCGCCUGCCUCUGCCUCCCGAGUGCUGGGAUUAAAGGCGUGCGCCACCACCGCCCGGCUAAAUGUUACACUUUUAAAUGUCACCAGUUAAUUUUGUAAAGUCAGAAGUUCAUGUGAUCACUUUU